rnacentral:misc_RNA from 1 species
GUUUUGUUUAAAUGACAUGGAAACUCCCAAUCAGAGCAAGAAUCAAUUAAAAGUCGUUUAUUGUCCAAAAUGACAUGUUUUGACCAAUCACAAGCAACUUUAUUAAAUACAUUUGUGAUAAACUUAAUGACUAUCAAAAUGAGGGGAAAAAUUUCAUUUACACUUGGACUGCCUACUUCGUACAACUGUAAAAAAUAGAGGGCAGGGGUUCAUAACUUUCUAAAGCAUUCUGCAGUCGGAGGAGCAUUCUGCUAACACAGUAAGCCUCGUUUACUGAUAAGCCUCUGGAUGCAACUCUGUAAAGGGGAAAUCCCAACUUGGUAGAUAAUGGAUCUGAUCGUUUUUCUGGUAAACAUUAACAAAGAACUCCUGAAAACAAGUAUUUAUAAAGUCUCUAGUGUUAACUUGGUAAACAUUAAGCCUCUAGUGUUUGAUUAUAACAUCAACAAAGAACUCCUGAAAACAAG